rnacentral:SRP_RNA from 1 species
GCCGGGCGCGGUGGCGCGUGCCUGUAGACCCGGCUACUCGGGAGGCGGAGGCGGGAGGAUCGCUUGAGCGCAGGAGUUCUGGGCUGUAGUGCGCUAUGCCUAUCGGGUGUCCGCACUAAGUUUGGCAUCAGCAUGGUGACUUCCGGGGAGCGGGGGACCACGAGGUUGCUAAAGGAGGGGUGAACCGGUCCAGGUUGGAAACUGAGCAGGUCAAAACUGCCAUGCCAAUCAGUAGUGGGAUCGCGUCUGUGAAUAGCCCCUGCACUCCAGCCUGGUCAACAUAGCCAGACCGUGUCUCU